CUGGAGAUCUUUGCAUACCUGAGGCAUUUUGAAGUCUGAACAGCCCCAGCUCUCUCAUCAGACUGUCCUUGUAGGAGAGGUGCUCCACCCCUUGGAUGAUGUUUGUUGCCCUCCUCUGGAUGUGCUCCAACAGGUUUAUGUCUCUCCUGUACUGAGGUAAUCCACAUUUGGAUGCACUACUCCAGGUUCUAAAAAAAAAAAAAAGUGUCAUUGAAUCAUGAGUUCUUUUUGUAGUUUUCUCUGGAUUACUUUUCCAAGGACGGUAUUUGUAUUUCAAGUUAGUCAAGGGAAGUGUCUCUUUUCUACUGACGAUAUCCUAGCGUGAUGUAAUCUCCUCUUCAACUUCACUAUUGUUUAUAGUUUGUUUUUGAUGUUGUUGAUGUGACUUGAUGCUUGGAGGGAAUUCCUCAGAUUCCCCUAUUUUCGCUUGAAUAGAAAAGUUGCACAGGCCAACAAAGGAAAGCUUGCAUACAUGGAAAACUUAGAGCUCAAAACCAAUCACGGUAGCCUAGAGACAGGAAUUUAAAAUAUGCUUUAGAAGAAACCUCACCAACAAUGGAACGCAAGGACCUACAGAUCUUUGAGAAGUUGUGCUUCGCUUAAGCAAAGUUGGAAAUUAAGACUCUUACAGUAAAAACAUCUGUUGCAGCCACACUUCUAUUGAAAAUAUGAUUGUGAUCACAAAUAUCAUGCUGCUCUUCAAAAUAAGUGGCUACCUAUGUAGCUGUACAUUGGAGGCAACUCCAUUAAGCCAGUGGAAUUUCUCCAGUAUGAAAUAAUUCAUCAAUCCAGGCUGGUAGAUAGCACUGCUUUAAAUUUUAAUGACUUAAAACUUGUUUGAAUAGCACUUCCAUUGAGAAAUGCUGCUGCUUUUUUCUACUGUUAAAAAGACUGUUUUCAUGUAGAAAAUCAGUUGUAAAGCAUAUUUUCAUUAUUUAGGAUGUACAAUACAGAAUAAAUACCCACAGUGAGUAAC
rnacentral:lncRNA from 1 species